ensembl:lncRNA
AGUCAGGCAGCCUAGUGGUUAGAGGAGGCAGGCAGCCUAGUGGUUAGAGGAGGCAGGUAGCCUAGUGGUUAGAGGAGGCAGGCAGCCUAGUGGUUAGAGGAGGCAGGCAGCCUAGUGGUUAGAGGAGGCAGGCAGCCUAGUGGUUAGAGGAGGCAGGCAGCCUAGUGGUUAGAGUGUAGAGGAGGCAGGCAGCCUAGUGGUUAGAGGAGGCAGGUAGCCUAGUGGUUAGAGGAGGCAGGUAGCCUAGUGGUUAGAGGAGGCAGGCAGCCUAGUGGUUAGAGGAGGCAGGCAGCCUAGUGGUUAGAGGAGGCAGGCAGCCUAGUGGUUAGAGGAGGCAGGCAGCCUAGUGGUUAGAGGAGGCAGGCAGCCUAGUGGUUAGAGGAGGCAGGCAGCCUAGUG